GAGAAUGUUGGCAUGAGUAGCGAGAUGUGGGUGAGAAUCCCACAGGCCGUAAACCCAAGGUUUCCAGGGGAAGGUUCGUCCGCCCUGGGUUAGUCGGGACCUAAGCUGAGGCCGAAAGGCGUAGGUGAUGGACAACAGGUUGAUAUUCCUGUACUACCGAUAACCGUUUGAGAGAAGGGAUGACACAGUAGGAUAAGCUAAGCACACUGUUGGUUAUGUGUGCCCAAGCAUUGAGGCGGUCAAAGUAGGCAAAUCCGCUUUGAUAAUGCUGGGAUGUGAUGGGGAGCGAAAUUUAGUAGCGAAGUAG
rnacentral:rRNA from 1 species